CUGCUGUUUAUCUGUUCCUAGAGAUGCUAGAAUUCUGGAGAAUUUUAUCUUUGAAAAUCUUUAAAAUGUUGCAUGAUGAGUUCCUGUAUGAUGAGAGUUUAAAUUCCUACCACAGCCAUAUAUACAUGCUUGCUAGACUUUGAGCCACACAUUUACUAUUUACUGCUUAUGAGCGUUGAGUGUGGUCAAGCUGUGUAGACCCUUAGGAGCUUGUCAUGUGGUUAAAUCAAGAUUUCACUUGCACGUUCACUCAUAUAUGCUACUUCUACUCCAGAAGUACCAUCCACAUAUAUCCAUCCAAUUCCAUCUCCAGAAUCACCUAAAAAUAUUCUACUCCUAAUCCGGGAGAGAAUAGCCAAAAAUAUUUCUGUUUUUCCCUUGUGAAAUAAAUGCUCAAGUUAUCUUGUUACUACCACUUGCUAUAUUAUCUCAAGAGAUGAGUGCUCUAAAAAAAAGAGAGAGAUACGAGGAAAUAAAAAGGAGCAAGUGCUCGGAACCUCGAAACAAAAGAAAAGUGAGACGAGAGGUAAAAAUAGACAAGUGUCCGACAGUAGAAUUAGGGGUACAAGAUACCCACCUGAGAGAAAAGAAAAAAGAAGAGCAUCUCAUUCUCCUCAUAAAAUUUCAAAAAGCAAGAAAGGUAUGUAUCCCCUCAAAGAGCAAAGUAGAAUUAGACUUCUACCAUUGUUAUCACCAUUAUCACCAUACACCAUUCAUUCGCCACACAUGCACAUCUUGAUUAGACUUAUUGAUUUGUUUCUUUGGAUCCAUGGUUUGACUAUGCAAUAAAUGUCUUGUAAGUAUGUAUACUUUAUCUCCCACCUAUGAGCUCCAGAUAUUAAAACCUUAUUAGAGUAGGGUGAGAGAGAAGGCAAUAUCACUAUGCCUUAUAACACAAAUACUACAUAUCUUGAGAGAAGGCAUAUACCAUCACUGCCUUGGUAAGGAUCCAGAAAUACCACAAAAGAGAGAUUUAGAGAGUCAUACAAGGAAUCUCUGAGUUUUAUUUGAAAAUCUGUAAAAACCCCAGAGCUAUAGCUGAUCAAGAAUAACAGACAUGGCACUUGGCUAGACUGUUCUAUCUUUUAACCACUCAAGACAGAAGUGACGGUUACAAGUCCCAUGGUGAAGGUAAAGUAAGUAAGUUUUAAGUCUUGACAGUUUACUCUAACUCAAAGAUGAGAUCUUAUUUAAAAAGCAUGUGUACCCUCAAUUUUUUAAAUAUUGCAACAACUUAUGAUCCAUAGCUGAGUCUAUCCUUGCUCAGGGACGAGCAAGAGGUAAGCUUGGGGGAGUUUGUUGACGGUCCUUAAGUAUCAAAUUUAAUUAUCAAAUAAAUAAAGAAAAGGAUCCAAAUUAAAUCAACAUCUAGACUUAGGGUUUUAUCUGACAGAAUUCCACGAGUUUUGGUGUUUGUCUAUUUCUGCAGGGGGUUAUCAGGAAAUACGGAAGAAAGGCCCACACGUCGGGAUUACAUAAAGAUAUUAACGUGCCGCGCAAUUAUCUUACAUCCAGAAGACUCCAGAAGCCACGAGACCGAAGCGGAGGCGAAACGGGGCCUGACCCUGGGCGCCCGCCCAGGAGAUCAGGGCGCCCGCCCACCUCCUGAGUCCAAUCAGGACUCUGCUUUGCGGGAGAUUUCCACCGACCUAAAGGAUGAAUCUAAACCAUACAAUCUAUGUCGGCUUGAUCCAAAGGCCCAUAUUCACUUGAAGGGACUAUAAAACCAGACCCCCUGGCCCCUGGAGGAGAGAGCCUCUCAACCCUAAUUCAUUGUUCCUCAAGGGAGAAGAAGCCUCUGAUCAAGAUUAGAGCCACCACAUCAAUUAGAUAUCUAGAUUAGCAUAGCUACAUAGGAUUAGAACUAGAAAGAGUCAAUCUUCGAUUGGUUUCCGGAUCUGUCAGUAGGAUUCUUGGUAAUUCUCUAAUUGUGCUUCUAAUUGCUUUCUAAUUAUCUUUGCUCUUUAAUAUUAUGAAUAUGACUUUGUUCUACUUCAAUAUAUUGCUUAUGACUUUGCUCUACUUGCUUAUAUUCAAGAUUAUAUUAUUCUUAGUUUAUCAUAGUUAUGUACUUGGCUUAGUUAGAUUCGAUCUAUAUACAUGCUUAGGAUCGUAUAGCGUUUAUCCAUCGGAUCCAUGGGUAAAUGAUAGAUAUUGUGUAGGCGUGGUGCUUAUACUAUAUUUAUCUGCGAUUGUACCCAAUAUGCCAGAUCGUGGGGUGGUUCGUGAUAGUGACAGCUUCAUUGAUUCUUAUAUAGUCCCCCUCUCGUGUAUUGGGCUGGCAGAGUAACAUUAUUACAGGGGAGUGAUUGCUAUGUUUCUCAUUUACCUUGAUAAUAUCACUAUGCAUGGGCGUAGUCUUGUCUCACAAUGAUUGCUAAGUAUGCUUGCACUAACUAUGAUAAUGCUAGACUAUAUAGUUGAGAAUAACUUAGGGAAUAUUCUUGUAGUUCGUUCUAAUACCAUGCUAAUGACUUUCUAGAGUAUCUAAUUGAGGUGCUUAUCAUAUUUAUUAUGUGGCUAGAUCAGAUUAGUUAUCCUUGUCGCUAUUAUUAUUUCAUAUAUCUUUUAUGUGACACUUAUCCCUGUAUGAAGAGUUAGAUAUAAUGUUCUCAAUUAUACAUGCAAUGAUAGAUCCUCAAUCUCAUAUUCUAUUCUGUAAUCAAUAGUGAUGAUUGCUAAUCCCUUCCCAGUGGUAAAAAUAUAAAUAACGAUACCUGGAAUACUUCCCGGUUAAAUUACUGCAUCGGUAUUAAUCUGUGCGCUUGCAGAUCCCAUUCAUUAUUUAUUUAGAAGAGCAAUUGCAUAUUUCAAUACCGCGUCUCUUAUAUCAAGCUGGGGAUGACAACUUGGCUUAAGUGGUGUAAGGGAUAGGUUUGGCAUUUUUGGCACCGUUACUAGAUUUAGAGAACUUAGUCUACUUUUGGUAAUGAUGUUAAGAAUACCCAACAGUCAGCACAGUCCCCGAGCACGACGUAGGGACUGGUGGACAAGUCCCCGAGCGUGGUUGGGAACGUAAACUUGGUCGGUGGUUGGCACAGUCUUCGAGCACAGCGCAGAGAGUAGUCGACAAGUCCUCGAGCGUGGUUGGGAACGUAAACGUGCUCGGUGGUCGGAGCAGUCCCCAAGCACAGCAUGGGGAAUAGUCGACGAGUCCCCGAGCAUUGCUUGUUGACUGGGCCAAAGUCCUGAAAAAUAAAUAUAGAGUAUAGGUAGUACAAGAUGCAUAAAUACACUCUAGAUAAAAAAUCAGUACUGAGAUAAGUUUUAGAUUUUUUUGUUAUAUUAAAAUUAGCACGAGUAGUUAAUUCAUCCUAGAGCUUGUACCAGCUCUGGUCUAGCCAACAAUCAGCAUGAGGUGCGGAACCUAGGCACGCGUAGGAUUGCCAGCCUUGCCAGAGAGCUACUGUCCUAGAUUAGUUUUGGUUAAUUGAUGAAACCCUAGUACUAACCUCUAUGCUAAGUGUGUGUAGACUUAAUGAGGUUAGUACAUGCCAAGUGAUGGAGCAAGUGAUGAUCAUGGUGAUGACGGUGAUGACCACAAGAUGAUCAAGUGCUCAAGUUGGAAAAGAAGAAAGAGAAAAACAAAACCCUAUGGAGAUCAAGGCAAAGGUAUUGCUUAGGGUUUUGGUUUUGGUGAUCACGAAACCAUAGAGGGUGUGAUCACAUUUAGGAUAGAUAGCCAUACUAUUAAGAGGGGUAAUCUCGUUGUGAAAACGGUUGUCUAAGUGCCACUAGGUGAUUGGAUUCCUUGCAUAUGCAUUAGGACCUAUAGUGAACUUCUUAAGUAACCCUUGAAAAAUGUUUUUUGAAAUAUGCUAACACACAUGCACAAGUGUUGAGAAACUUUGGUGCUGGCACAUGGAAGCAAGGGAAGAAGUUGAGGAUCCUUUCGUGUAGCGCUUACAGGCCGGACGCGUCCCGUGUGAGGUCGGAUAUGUCUGAGGUGAGGCACCGGACUCGGAAACAGUAUCCACCUGGAGUCCAGUGUGUUUCGUUCGGAGAGAACGCUGUCUCGCAGAGCUCUCUAAGUUUGCGUCCGAUGCAAGCUCAUCGUGCAGAGCUCUCUGAGUUUUCAUCCGGUGCAUACAGGACGCGUCCGGUGUGACACUGGACACGUCCGGUGUGUCGACCGGUGUUGGCUUAGUUUGCAAUGCUUCCUGAGUUUUCGUCCAGUCCCUCGUGAGACCGUCCGGUGCGUUAAAAAGUGAAAGUCCGUUGUCGUGACAACGUUGAACCCAACAGCUAGUUCUCUAACGGUCAGGAGCACCGGACGCUGGUCGGGUCCAUACCGGACGCGUCCGGUGUGGGCGCAGACAGUGGGUUUGCCUGCCAACGGCUAGUUGAAGCUUGGGACUUCUAUAUAUAUAUGCCUUGGCUGGUUCUUGCUCACUCUCUUGACUCUCUAACUUGUUGAUACACCUUGUGAGCAUACUCCUACACCUCCCACUCAUCUUGUUCAAGUUUUGUUCAUCCAAAGUUGCAUUUGCUUAGAGUUUGAGCAUCUAGUGGCACUAGUGAUCGUUGAGCAGCGGUUUUGCUUGUUACUCUUGGUGGUUGCCGCCAUCUAGACGGCUUGGAGCUGCGGAGGAGCUUUGGCACGAGUUAGUGAUUGUUCGUGGCCAUCUCCCGGUGAUUGUGAGGGGUUUGUGCCUACCUCGGCGGAGAGCCAAAGACAACACUAGUGGAUUGCUCGUGUCAUUGAGCUACCUCACUUGUGGGUAGGUUCAUGCGGUGUCCUAGUAAGGACGAGGUUCGUGCUACACCUCUUAGCCGCAGAACCACUAAGUGUCAGUCGACACAACGGGGACGUAGCAUGCCGGCAAGCACGUGAACCUCGGGAGAAAAAUCGGUGUCUCAUUUGUGAUUGAUUGGCAUUCUCCCAAUAUUUGAUUGUUGAUAUAUUGGUGAUUAGUUCAUUCCCUACACGGCGGUAUAAAUAUCUCUUCCUCUCCUUUUACUUACCGCAAAGUAGUGUAACUAGUUUAGUUGCUAGUCUUGCCUUGUGUAGUUAAGCUCACUAGUGUAACUUGUAGAGACCUAGUGCUUGUGUGCUUAGUGAUCUUAGCAACUAGAAUUGUUGAUAGGUGGCUUGCAAACACCCCAUUAGAGCUAGAGUAAGACGCUUCGCUUUGUUAUUUACUAACCUCUUGCUCUAGUGAGUUUGUAGAUUUUUUUAAAUAGGCUAUUCACCCCCCUCUAGCCGACCACCCGGAACGCAGAGGGCGUAUCUCGUGCACGUGUAGGGAGGAGUCGAAGACAGUGCUGGCUCUGGAAAACUCGUGUAGGAGAAAAAACUAGUCGGCUAACCAAAAAAUUGUUUUAAAGGAUAAUAAUGUUAAAAAUAUUAUGCUAAAAAUAAAUAAAAUAUUUAGAAGUGUACUUAUAUCUUUGGACGAAAGUCUGGUCGGUGGUGACAAAAUUGUGUGGCCCUCGAGCUUUUUGACUUGUUGUCAUGACGAUGGUCGCAGUUGUCGUAGUGUCGUUCUUCGCGGCGAUUAUUAUUGCGACUGGUGGUCAGAACAAGUAGGCCAAACAACUUGGUCGAUAGCCCGAGCAGGUCGGUGUCGUCGAUCUGCCUCCCUUUGUAGCAAGGAAACGGGUGACGCGUUGUCGGCGUGGUCGGAGACAUUCCUGGAGUAGUCAGAGUCGUAGCCAGCAUGGUUGGAGCCACGGCCGACGUCGAUGAAGUGAUUGGCACAGAUCGGAUCUACGCCUCCUCCGUGGUCGUGGCGGUGAAGCUAUUGAAGCUGACGGUGAACGUGAGGCCGUCCGCCAUGGCCACGAAGUCGGGGAUGAUGGCCAUCUUGUUCGUCUAGGAAGUUGUACGCACACCCCCUACCUAGCGUGCCACUGUCGACGAAAGCUGGUCGGCAGUCUACCUUGGGGUAUACCUACGGUAAUAGUUUAUCGACAGAUAGGUGCGCAAGCUACGAACUCGAUGAUAACGCAAGACACAGAUAAGUGUUUUUAUUCAGGUUCGGCCGCCAUGUGGGCGUAAUACCUACGUCCUGCGUCUGAUUAUAUUGAUCUGGGAUGAUUCAAAUUAUGUUGACCUAUCCUCUAGAGGACCCCUACCCUCCUUAUAUAUACUAUGAAGGGACAGGGUUACAAGCAAAGUUUCCUAUUUGGUACAAUAUCUUCUAGCCUUGCGGUGCACGCCGACCAGCGUCGUGCGCCGCACGUCUUCAUCUUGUGGGCCGAGCCACCUCUGAUGGUGCGGCCCAUGUCGACCCAUGAGGAUAUAGGGGUUUAUACCCCCACACCCUAGAAAGGGGGUUAAGAGGUUAGCUACCUCGGGGGAAAGGGUAAAUCAUGAAUCAUGGGUAAAGAUGUACGACAUCUGCAGAGUGUUUAUUAAACUAGUAUACUAGCUGUGCUCACGGUCAAGAGCGGCCUUGGAGAUUCUUACAUUAAGGGUGAUGAAUCUUGUUGUGUUAAGAUACUCAUUGUUUAGUGUUUAAGGCUCUACAUUAUUUACGUCACAUUGAUCAUGGGAUUGUGGGAUCUAUACAAUCUAGUUGCUAUACUUGUGGAGUUCGUCUUGGACUCACUCUUGCUAUCUCUCCCACACCUCAGAAGAAGUAUUGGGCUUCUGAUCAACCAGUCAGUUGGAUCCUAUAUAGUGAAGUUAAUACCCAAAGUUUGGAGUUAUAUUCUGUGGUUUGCUUCUUAAGGUUGUUUCUGAUUUAUUAUGUACGUUAUGUAAUUUAUGCGUUGUCCUUUGAUAUUACCCCUUAUUUGUAGCUAUAUGUGAGAUUUGUCUUCUAAAACUUAUAUAUGGUACAUAUCUGGUUUUGUCCUUAAAAUCGGGUGUUACACCUAAUCGACUUUUUGUACAGAUAUAGAAGAACUAUUGUUCGAUGAUUUGUUAUGAGAGAAGCUUAAGACCAAGUCAAAGUUCAUGCAAUGAAGAAAGCCGUUAACUGCAAAUAUUACAAAUCAAUGCUGUUACAAAAGCUUACCUGAAACAAAUUACUCAUAUAUAAAUGUAGCUUCAAUUAAAAUACUUAACAAAGCCAAACUCACGGUUGGCUACUUGAGAAAAAGCACCUCCUGACCAUUGUUUCUCGAAAGUAAGGUUUGUAGCCUCCCCUCUUUCAAUUCGUUUCUAGAUCCACCGUUGCUAUCAGUAAUGCCUUACGUGUCUAGCAAUAAUAAUGGCUCGAAAGCAGUAAGCACGGGGGUAUCCGUAUCGUGCGAGCACGGCCCCAAAUCUCAGCUCUUACCUCAGGACCUCAAGCUAAAGGGAUUAAGAUUUGGGACGCGUGAGGUGACGCCGCGGCAAACGUCUUCACUAGCUCUUGAAAUGCCGUUCAUCUGAUGAAUACCAGAAUUGUACAAUGUGCUGUGUCAAAUUAAGCCUGCUGCUGUUUGCUACUUCCCGGUACUUAUGUUGAAUCUGAAUCGGUCACUGGACUCCAACCAUACGGGUUGUAUCAGCAUGGGCAGGCUGCUACGGUUCAACUCGCGGCCCUGCUGUGUGCUUUUCAGGCCGGUCAGUGAGGUCGGCGAAGGUGUAGUUUGAGGUACAAAUUUUUUUGGGUGUCACAUUACAUGUUACAUGAGGUGUUAAUAUGAGGGUGUUCAAUUCAGAUACGAAUAGAAAAAUAAAUUACAAAAUCCGUCAGCAAAUUGUGAGAUAAAUUUACUAAACCUAAUUAAUUUAUCAUUAGAAUAUAGAUUAAUUAGACUUAAAAAAUUUAUCUCACAAAAUCUAAUUAAUCUGUAUAAUUAGUUUUUUUAUUUUAUCUAUAUUUAAUACUCUAUGACCAUGUAUAUAUCAUCGAAUAGGAUGAAAAAAAGUUUAGUUGGAGUGCGGUCUCUUUCGGGUUCAUACGACCCUCUCCUGUUGAGUGAAACAAAUGGUGCAUGGUGUAUCCAUCCAUCCGUGACGAUGUAUCUAGCCGGUUUCAGUUUACACAAAUGAAGAUUAGUCAAAGUUUAGACAAACCAUAAUAAAUGUAUAUAUAUAUAUAUAUAUAUAUAUAUAUAGUUCAUGAUUUUACAAUGUGGUGCUACAGAAAAGCUAUAGUAAAUAUGUGCUAAAGUUAGAUUAAUUGCAUUUAAUAAAUCGUUCUCACGGAGUACUAAGAAUUUAAUAAAUUUAUUCUCACGGAGUACUAAGGAUUUAAUAAAGACUUUUGUAACAUUAUUAUUAUUAUUAUUAUUAUUAUUAUUAUUAUUAUUAUUAUUAUUAUUGUUGUUGUUGUUAUUAUUAUUAACACUCUCAUGUGACAAUUCGAUAUGACUGUUGAUAAAUAAAGCCUAAAGGUCAAAAAGCGAAUAAAUGGCCAAAAGGUACGGUGCCACAGGUUCAAGUCAAGCUGUGAUAUGAUGGUCUUCGUCUCUGACUAGAAACGUAGGCGCGGCCUUGCCGCGCCAUACGGGAUCGAGCAAGUUCAUUUCUGGUGAUGCCCAUUAAGUCUUUGAAACAAUGAGUAUUGAGUAUAUGCUGUUAUAUAUAAUAAUGUGAAAUUUUAUAUUAAUAAAUGAGUAACUUUAUAGUAACAAAUUUGUUUUUGCAGAAUUUCUUAAAUAGAUAUUAGAAAAAGUUAAUCGAUGUGAUUUUGACCUUCUGAAAAUGAUGGAUACCAUGAGUUCCAGCAAAUUUGAUUGUAAGUCAAGUGUUGCACCCAUGUUGGACUGUGUGCAAAUGAAUCAAUCAUGUUUUGUUAGACUAAUAUAUGUUCAUUACAUAUCCUAGCAAUGUUACUUUGUAAGGGUAAAUUUAUGGGUCAUAGUAGUACGAGUGGCAUUGUAUCGAUUAGACUCUAGCAAUUGUAAACUAAGUUUUUCUUGUGUUUAUUGUCUCUUGGUAGAAGUGCAACAUUUGUAUUUUUAAAGAUCACUAUACCACAACCUUUAAUCAGCGACUGACUUGAAGUUGCUGCAAGGGGUGUACAGCAAUAGACAGUCCGUUGCUAAAAGUUAUAGCAACGGACCCUAGCAGACGCUGUUGAAGCCGUCGUUGUAGGUAUAUAGUGACUGACUUCAUCUUUAGGAACUGACCGUCCGUCGCCCUAGAAUUUAGCAACGGACAGGCUGUUUGUAGUUUUAGCAAUGGAUAGUCCAUCGCAGUAAUAACUUUUAGCAAUUGCUAGUCCAUUGAGAUCAAAUUAAUAAGAAAAAAAAUACUCCACAUUUAUUUACAAAUAGACCACGUUCAGAACGAAAACAAUACUGAAUGACAUACACAAAUAGGCAGAUCAAUCAUAUUCUCAUUCAUCUAUAUCAAAUGAGUACAUAUAUAAUCAUGUCACUAGCUUAAGCUUCUUGACCUAAAGCAAACAUACAAGCAUGCGUAUAUAUAGUAGCUGAAUGCAUAAUCUAGCUAAGUUAUCAUCCAAAAGUGAUCCAACAUUAUGACCAUCAGGUUCGAGUCCACAAACUAAAACAACCAGAUUGUAGUCCAACAGCAAUCAAAGAUAGCAUCUACUUCACCAUAAGAUAGCAUGUAGUCCAAAAGCAUUCAAGUUUACUCCUAGCAACCUUCCUGUUGUUGACGGUGGAUAACAUCAACUUUUAUUAGAACUUUAGACAUGAAAGGAUACAUAAAUACCCACUAGUCUAGGGAUUUAACUGACAAUUUCCACGAUUUUGUAUGUUUCGUAUUUUCCCAGGGAUUAUUCCAGAAAAGCAUAAAAGAAGGAUUAGAGUGCAUAAUUAUUACGAAACUUAUCCGCGACGAAAAUGUCGUCAUUAGGCUCACGAAGGGUCUAGAAGACACCCGAAGGAACGAGACCCGCAGAGGAGAAAAUGUGGGGCCGGCCGGCCCCACCCUGGUACCGGCGGCAACCUAUUUCGCCCGAUGGCCGCCGCCUUCUGGAGUCCUCCUCCCACGCCUCCUUGGAAGCCAAGCAAAGUAUCCUUCUGUUGAUUUUAAGUCGGUUUAAUCCGACGGUGCACACAAAAUGAAGACGCGGAUCGCUGACGUGGCGGUUCCUUGCCCCCUACUCCACCUUGGCCUAUAUAAGGACGCCCAAGGCCCUCUCCUUGAGGCAUUCUACACCCCAGUGCUUCAUAUUCUCUACACAAAUUAGGGUUAGUAGUGUCCCUCUAGUUCAUCUAGUUCUUCUAGUUCUAGUUCUAGUUCAUCUAGUUCUCGUUCUUCUAGUUCUAGUUCAUCUAGUUGUAAUAAGAAGAGGGAGAGAGAAGUGGAGAGAGCGGAGGAGGAGCCAGAUCUGUCGGAUCUUCCUCGAUAUUGUAUUUUUGCAGUAUCUGGUUCAUCAUUCAGCAAUCUUCAGGUGCCUUAAUUACUAUUCUAAGUUCUUUAUUUACUUAAUCUCAGUACUUUAAGUUCAUUUAUUAGUUUCUCGCUUGCAUCAAGUGUUCUAGUCUUUGCAACGCUAGAGUAGUAAUUAAUAGGUUAGGCGUGGUGCUUAGUCUAUAUAUUACCUUGAAUUACACUUAGUUCUACGGAUAGUUAUGGUAGCCCCAGGUGGUGAUAGCCUUGAUGGCCGACGUAUUCCACCACGUUUGGAUUGGUGUUGUAGGACCGUAGUCAGACCAUCCUAGCCCCCUUCUCAUCUGUCUGUGGCUAAGUGCUCUGAUGUAACAAAAUAAGUAGACUUUAAAGUCAAUUCGAUUUAUAGAUCCAUUUAGAAACCUUAGAAACAUCCUCUCUACCCACUAAAAACACUUUUACCUUUACUGUUGGAUGAUCUUGAACCUUAAUUAGUACACUUCAUGUUCCUUGUGGAAAAUCGAUACUCUGGAAUACUCCCGGGUGAAAGCGACAUCGCUAUUCGUGCGCUUGCAGAUUUCUCUGUUUGUGUUUAAAAUACCCAACAAGCUUUCUAGCGCCGUUGCCGGGGAAAGGUAGCUGUGCUAGUUUCGAACCAAGUCCGUCUUUACCAUUAUCUUUACCCCUACAUGGAUUCCACAUCCAUCUACCAAUUUUCCGCUCCAAGGGGUGAAUUAUUAGAGCCUCCACCUGUGGGGGUAUAAACACCUAUACCCUUACGGCUAGACUUAGGCCAGAAGGCUUGGCCCAUCACGAAGACAGUCCGAGGCUUGAUCUAACUGCUCAAAAUUUCGUGCAAGGAAACAAGACGUGGAGAUCAAGCCGGAUUCUGGUCGGUUAGAAUAGGAAUUGAUAUUGUGCUAUCUAUGGCAAUUGUAACCGACUAGGAUUAGUUUUGACAUCUGUAACCCUGCCCUCUAGACUAUAUAAGGAGAGGCAAGGGACCCCCUAAGACAAUUGAUCUCAACACAAUCCAAUACAAUCAGACGCAGUACAUUGGUAUUACGCCCACACGGCGGCCGAACCUAGAUAAAAACCUUGUCUGUGUCUUGCGUCACCAUCGAGUUCGUAGCUUGCGCACCGUCUACCGAUAAACUACUACCGUGUGUAUACCCAAGGUAGACUGCCGACUAGCUUUCGUCGAUAGUGGUGUGCCAGGUAGGGGGUGUGUGUACAGCUCUCCCAACGAACAAGAUGGUCAUCGUUCCGGCUUCCGCGGCCGUGGCUGAAGGCCUCACGUUCACCGUCGGCCUGAUCACGUGGACGACUCAUGGCGGCGGCUCCGCGACCACGACUUCAGAGGAAACCUAGAUUCGAUCUGGGGCAGCAGAGGCACCGACUCUGAUCGCGCGGACUCCGAGCACCCGACCCCCACUCCCUCGUUACAAGGCAAAGUGGGUCGAUAACUCGGACCUUCUCCAAGCCCUUGAUCGUGCCGACCUCAGGCUCCUCGAAGCCUCCAACUUGGUGGAUUCGAUCUCGCGCAAACCUGAUCGGGCGGCGCUAACAAACUUUUUCGACUCCUGCCGGCCAACUCGUGUUACCAUGCACGAACAGCUGGAGGCGUCCCUGACAAUAACGUCGACCCCCACGAGACGGUCCGUCAACCUCAAAACAGCUCAAGACCAGGAUUACCCUUACGGUCUGAACAACUCGGCCGACCACUACUCGCGGUACACCCAAUCACUUUUCAGCAGGGCAGGCCUGUCGCCGGGUCAAAGCAGCCGAGCAGCUCGCCAUUACGUCAACAUGGUAUCCAUCCGAGUCCUGCCGAACGACGAGGCCGCCAGUACAAACUCUAGCACUGUGUCUGUCCCUACCGAGGUUUUACACUCCGAGGACGAAGAUUACGACCUGGAUCUACCACCAUACCCUCCGGGCUUUUCUCGUUUCCCAGUUUUUCCACCUCGGCGAGGAGAUCUUAUUUUUAACGUCAGCAACGACGAACCAGUUGUCGACGGUGAAACAGACGAGCAGAAGCUACUCCGCGAGCAGCGCAAUGCCGAUCGUGCUCGGCGGCGCGCGGAUGAGGAGCGGCUACUUGCGCCACACAACCUCAGUGAUGCUUUCGACAUGGUCGGAGAUCAGCCAGUCUACAAGACGCCAAGCGCUAACAUGGCUGUGGCCAUGGCGAACCUGGACCGACUCCCUCAUACUCCAGAGUGCCAAGGCGUCUGAUCCAGUAUACGAGCACAUCUGAUCGCCGCGAUGGGACAGACAGCCACCUUGCUUAGAAGGGUCCAAGCUGUCUCCUACACGGAGGUUUCGUCCGACCAGACUCAACGCAGCCAGACCUCACCGCGACCCAGCCGCUCCCCUAACGCCCGUAGGAAGGACGUGGGACGCGACAACUGUGGUCAGGACACCGGCGGUUACUGCGAGCAGAGGCGCAGGCGUGGUCAGGAAGUAAACCAGGAUAGGGAUCUACAAUACAACAUCCCUCCCAAGGACGCCUGCGAUUGUUGACGGUCCUUAAUGCUCACAUUUAACCAUCAACUAAUCAUGGAAAAGGAUCUAAAUGGAACCAACACCUAGACUUAGGGUUUUAUCUGACAGAAUUCCACGAGUUUUGGUGUUUGUCUAUUUCUGCAGGGGGUUAUCAGGAAAUAAGGAAGAAAGGCCCAUACGUCGGGUUUACAUAGAGAUAUUAACGUGCCGCACAAUUUUCUAUCAUCUAGAAGACUCCAGAAGCAACGGGACCGAAGCGGAAGCCGAGAGGCCUCAGGCACUGGGGACCGAAGCGGAAGCCGAGAGGCCUCAGGCACUGGGCGCCCGCCCUAGUCCUGAGGGCGCCCGCCCACCUCUUUCCACCAAUCAGGGUGAAGUUCGGGGAUCGUGCUCCACCGACCUAAUACUUCAAGGAAAACCACACGAUCAAUGUCGGUUUGAUCCGACGGCCCAGAUUCACUUGAAGGGACUAUAAAACCAGACCCCCCUGGCCCCUGGUGAUCAUACCUCUUCUACAGAAUCAAAGCUAGGGUUUCAAUUCUUCAUCCAAGUAGAGAGGAUCCCUCUAGUUCUUCUAGUUCUACCUCUAGUUCAUCUAGAUCUAGUUCUAGUUCAUCUAGUUCUAGUUCUAGUUCCUCUAGUUCUAGUUCUAGUUAGUUCUAGUUGUAAUCUAGAAAAUAGGGAGAGAGAAGAGGAGAGCGGAGGAGGAGCCGGAUCUGUCGGAUCUUCCUCAACAUUGUACUUUUGCAGCAACUGGUUCGUUCUUCAUCGUUCUCCAGGUUCUUCAAUUCAUAAUUCCUGAGUUCUUUAAUUACUUUUAUUUACAUUCAAGUUAUUUAUUGGAUUCCCGCUUGCAUCAAGUGCUCUAGUCUUUAUAACGCUAGAGUAGUAAUUAAUAGAUUAGACGUGGUGUUUAGUCUUGCAAUUACCUGGAAUUGCACCCAAUCCUGCGGAUUGUUGUGGUAGCCCUAGGGUAGUGACAGCCCUAACGGUCGACGUAUUCCACCACGUUCGGAUCGGUCUUUGUAGGACCGUAGUCAGACCUUCCUAGCCCCCUUCUCAUCUCUUUCUGUGGUUAGUGCUCUGAUGUCCCGAUAUAGAUAAUCUUGAAGUAAUUCUUGAUUCUUAGAUCAACUAGAGAACUCUCAGGAAACUUCCUCUCUUCCCACCAAAAAUAAUUAUAUAGUAAUCCUUGGGCGAUCUUGAUUCUUAAUUAGUACACUCACGUUCUCUGUGGAAAAUCGAUACUCUAGAAUACUCCCGGGUGAAAGCUACAUCGGUAUCCGUGCGCUUGCGGAUUUUUCUGUUUGCGUUUAAAAUACCCAACAAGCUUUCUGGCGCCGUUGCCGGGGAACGGUAGCUGUGCUAGUUUCGAACCAAGUCGUCCGUGUAUCCUUUUUCUUUUCCUUUUUUACCACACUCACCUUACCAUUUUCACCAUACCACAUGGAUUUCACUCUAAGCAUUAAUGAGCAUGGAAUUUAUUUCAUAGCCACUUCAUUUACUCCAUGCUCAUAUGCAACAUCUUCACAAUCCAUUGGUCUCUCCAACAUCACCACAUUCGAGAUCUCCAUCCCCCUCAUCCUUUCUAUUCAUAAAAACUUUAAAAGGGCGGUUGUCGAUGCAUAUGUCUAUAUGAAAUAUUGCAGAUCUCGUUGAGUUGAUCUUGAAAUAGGUCAGCGUUGGAGGGGAAACCACUUCGCCGACAUAAAUUGAUGGUUUCCCAAGGACAAGCUUAGUGUCCUAAAACAAGCACUGAUCAGAUCGUAACAUGAGCUUUUAAUUAUUUGCAACACUAACUUGUGUAUUGAGCAUAUAAGGAUAAUUGUAAAAAAAUUCCUUCGGGUAUUCUUGUCACUAACCUUUCUAGGAUUGGAGCAAGAAGAUCGGAUGAAUGACAAGCACAAGGUAUGUACAACCAAUCAUCAUACAACAUUGAAUUAAACUCAUCCAAACUUGAAUUUUGCAAAAUUCAAGCUUGGGGAGAACUGUACAUAAAAAUAUCCUUUGCCAUGUUGCUAUGUUGGUUGUCCCUACCUUUGAGACAUGCUCAAUUUGUUAAAUACUAAUCACACUACUUCAUCUCCACUUGAGUAGAUCUCUAUAAAUUCUUUCAUGCUACCUUUAUUUGCUUUAGUAUAUGUCUAGGUUUGGAGUAGUUUCAUUUAUCUCUUAAUUAAGCAUGGUGCUUAGUUUAGGGCUGAUGAUCUUACUUCCAAGAGAGUUUAAAUUAAGCAUGAUGCUUAGGUUAAAAUGCCCUCCUAAAUCAAAUUAGACAUGGUGUCUAGGUUGAUUUUUGAGCCGAUAGUAUGCUAUAGUAGAUAUGGGAUAUUUUGUUGGACUAACUCCAGCAGGAAAAUUUUCAAUAUCGACCUGGGAAGUCCUGAGAUAAACUCACAUUGGAGACAAAGAUAGAGACACAUGAAGGUUAACAAUUUACACAAGGAAGGUACAACUCACAAGAGAUGAUCCAUGGAGGGUGCUACAAACACGAUGCACAACCACUAAGAAAGGAAAGCUUCUACAAGGUGACACUGUACCAUCACUCUUCAAGUAAGGUAACAUCUUAAGGUACUUGACUAUCACUUUUAUAAGCUUCUCCUUAGUUCUAGCGUUCACAUGAAUAAAAGAGACAAACAUGUAUGAUUUAUAACUCUAGAUUAACCAACCCAGUCGAUUCAAUAUGUUUAGUCCUUCCACCUUUGUGAUUCCACACUCCUAAUCAUAUGAGCUAAAAUGUUGCACACUCAAUCUUUGGAAGAUAUAUUUUAUAUAUAUAAAAAAAUAAAUAUAGAUAGAUUAUCUUUCCAUUAGGUUGAGCGAUGUGAUCUGACAAAUGUUUUAAAUGCUACACUCAUGAUCUUAUUAUCCAUCAACUUUGUCUUGCUCACUAUGCUUAAGGUUAGAGAGAACAAAUACACUUUUGGUUCUGUUGGUGUUUUCCACCAACAGGGCCCAUGCACUUGAUCUCUGCCUUGUCUCCAUGAGCAGGUACACUUGGAGCAAAAUAUGAAGGACUUUUACAACUCCCAGACUCCACCAAGUGAAGAAUCUAGAUCUACGAGUAAAAACACACUGGAGAUACUGGACACUCAGGCAAUCAUUGCCCUGAGAUGCUUGAGGACACAACUACUGGAGUAACCCUGUUGUGGAAGUAAUUACUGACCUUCUGCCGGUCAAGAGAGACAAUCCAGGACGCCCCGUCAUCUCGAUCUCCAUCAGCAUGGUGGACUUCCUAGAAGCACUCUGCGACUUAGGCUCCAGCGUCAACAUUAUGCCCAGGGUACUCUAUGAAAAAAUCUUUACAUAUCCUUUAUUGAAAACAACCAUGUGUUUGCAGCUUGCAGAUCGGACGCUAAGUUUCCCAAAGAGAAUAUCGAAGGACCUUUGCAUCCGUGUUGGUACCUUGUACGCUCCAGCAGACUUCAUGGUGAUAGAUACUAGUACUGAUGAGAGGGCACCCAUCAUUCUAGGGAGGCCAUUCCUGAACACCUCGGGAGCAGUCAUCCACGCUAGUGCUGCCAAGAUCAGUUUCUGCAUCAAGGGGACGAAGGAGACGUUUUCCUUCAAGAACAAAACUACACAAAUCUCAGAGCAAUCCUGACAUGAACCAAGGAAAGGACCAACAGGAGGAACAGGAACAAGCAAUUGUGGACUGAGUCAGCUAAGAUGGUCACUGCUGCUCAAGGAGGUCAAGAUCAUCAACUCAAGUCACCUUUCUUGAUCAAGAAGGAUGACCCUGGUGUUCCAAGCAUCAAGUGCACAAUCAACGGAUAUUCUUUUCAGAAAACACUCUACGACACCGGAUCUAAUGUCAACAUAAUGGCCGCAGUCACUUAUCAGCUCCUGCAUGGAACCAUGUCCCUACAACCAACAUACAUUCAGCUCCAGAUGGCAAAUCAGACAUUCUGAAAAAUUGAAGGUUAUUGACAUGGGAGAAGACGAGUACGAUCCACCCAUCAUCCUUGGAAGACCGUUCCUCAGCACCGUUAAAGCAAUCAUCUACAUUGGAACUGGAGAAGUCCACAUGCAUUUCUCCUCUGAGAAGGUACGCCGCUAUUUUACUGACCCUAACUAUAUAGUUGAAGACUCUAAGCAGGUCAGGACAAGAAGAAGACGACGCAACCGCAACCAGAGGAGGCAAAUCAUCAAGGAUGGAUGGGCAGACUACGAAGGAGAAGUAGUGAGGUCUGAAGACAUACAGCUUGAACAGAACUGUCCUGAGGAGACCGUAGCACCGAGUCAGGUGUGGAGAGAGAAGGUAGUUAUACACGAAGAGGAAGCACCGCCGGAACCACCGACUACGCCAUGCAGCGAAUCCCAGGACGACUAAGAAAAUAGAGAGUCCCAUUCGGAGGACUUAAAACACCGAACGCCUUGCCAAGAGGUAAACUUGGUAGUUAUCCUUUUCCUUUCAAUUAUUUAAAAUAGUUUGUCUAGUUAAUCAAGUUCAUGCUAUCUUGAAAAGAAAAUAAAAAUGUUAAAAAUAGUAAGCCCCAUGUGAGUAUGCUCAUGGCAUAAAACCCAUAAGUACAUUCACUGUGGUGGCAUAAAAAUAAAUAUAUGUAUUCCUGUCCUAUAAAAAUGAAAAUAUAAAAAUAAAUUUAUGAUCCUACUAAAGAGAGUAACAUUUAUUGAGGAGGCUCAACAUGAUAAAGGCUAGAUAUUUAUGCUAACACUUAACUAGUUCCACAAAGCUUUGUUGUCUAUUUGAGCUCCAUACAAUUAAAGGAUCAAAGAAGACUAGCAGACGGAGGACAUCCUAAUCGCUGUCAGGGUGCUGCCGACAUUCAAAUACACCUCCGCCACCUGCUAGCUACAUCAGAAGAAACUUCGUCAAAAUCCAGCUUGGGGGAGAGCGCCCCCAUUUAUCCAGCUAAGUAUUCUACUCAUGUUUAUACUUUACUCUAAUAAUAAAAAGAUGCAUAAUCAUAAAAAACCAAAUAAAGAUUUUGUGCUUAUAUAUAUAUCUUUGCUUAGUUUGCUAAAUAAAUAAAUAAAUAAAGUUUGCCAUGAACCCUCAUGAUAGCCCUCACAUGGAAAUGAUGAAUAGUUGCUCUACCAUGACUAGUUCUCAAAAUUGAAAUCUCUCUCAAGUUUAGGCAUGACUGUUAUUAAUUAAGGUUUGUUCUAAACCUGAACUUGUGGGAAGAGUACUUGAUCUAAAGUCUAAGUCGUUAACGGAUAUGAUAUGGGAAGGUUGAGCUGCUGUUUAUCUGUUCCUAGAGAUGCUAGAAUUCUGGAGAAUUUUAUCUUUGAAAAUCUUUAAAAUGUUGCAUGAUGAGUUCCUGUAUGAUGAGAGUUUAAAUUCCUACCACAGCCAUAUAUACAUGCUUGCUAGACUAUGAACCACACAUUUACUUUACUACUUAUGAGCAUUGAGUGUGGUCAAGCUGUGUAGACCCUUAGGAGCUUGUCAUGUUGUUAAAUCAAGAUUCACUUGCACGUUCACUCAUACAUGCUACUUCUACUCCGGAAGUACCAUCCAUAUAUAUCCAUUUCCAUCUCCAGAACCACCCAAAAAUAUUCUACUCCUAAUCCGGGAGAGAAUAGCCAAAAAUAUUCCUUUUUUCCCCUGUGAAAUAAAUGCUCAAGUUAUCUUGUUACUACCACUUGCUAUAUUAUUUCAUGAGAUGAGUGCUCUCUAAAAAAAAGAAGAAAAAAAAAGAAAAAAAAGAGAUACGAGGAAAUAAAAAGGGGCAAGUGCCCGGAACCUCGAAAGAAAAGAAAAAGUGAGACGAGAGGUAAAAAUGGACAAGUGUCCGAAAGUAGAAUUAGGGGUACAAGUUACCCACCUGAGAGAAAAGAAAAAGAAAAUAUAGAGCAUCUCAUUCUCCUCAAAAAGUUUCAAAAGAGCAAGAAAGGUAUGUACCCCCUCAAAAGAGCACAAGUAGAAUUAGACUUUCACCAUUGUUAUCACCAUCAUUGUUGACGGUGGAUAUACCAUAGAAAUCCACAUACAAAACACCGUCAACAUGCCUCGGUUGCAAGGGGAAAUGACAUGACAUGAACAUAUUUUAUCCAUAACUAGUUCCACUUGUACUCUUAGCUUGUUUAUGCAGGAACAACAAAUUCAAGACAUUAUUUGACAAAGCCAACAUCAGAAUCAUCAAGAGG
rnacentral:lncRNA from 1 species